CCUACGGGUGGCUGCAGUGGGGAAUUUUGGACAAUGGGCGCAAGCCUGAUCCAGCCAUGCCGCGUGCGGGAAGAAGGCCUUCGGGUUGUAAACCGCUUUUGUCAGGGAAGAAAUCCUCUGGGCUAAUACCUCGGGGGGAUGACGGUACCUGAAGAAUAAGCACCGGCUAACUACGUGCCAGCAGCCGCGGUAAUCCGUAGGGUGCGAGCGUUGCGCGGAAUUACUGGGCGUAAAUCUGGCGCAGGCGGGUGAAAUCCCCGGGCUCAACCUGGGAACUGCCUUUGUGACUGCAAGGCUUGAGUGCGGCAGAGGGGGAUGGAAUUCCGCGUGUAGCAGUGAAAUGCGUAGAUAUGCGGAGGAACACCGAUGGCGAAGGCAAUCCCCUGGGCCUGCACUGACGCUCAUGCACGAAAGCGUGGGGAGCAAACAGGAUUAGAUACCCGAGUAGUC
rnacentral:rRNA from 1 species